UACGGAGGGUGCAAGCGUUAUCCGGAUUCACUGGGUUUAAAGGGUGCGUAGGUGGGCUAGUAAGUCAGUGGUGAAAUCUCCGGGCUUAACCCGGAAACUGCCAUUGAUACUAUUAGUCUUGAAUGUCGUGGAGGUAAGCGGAAUAUGUCAUGUAGCGGUGAAAUGCUUAGAUAUGACAUAGAACACCAAUUGCGAAGGCAGCUUACUACACAGUUAUUGACGCUGAGGCACGAAAGCGUGGGGAUCAAACAGG
rnacentral:rRNA from 1 species